rnacentral:rRNA from 1 species
UACGGGGGGGGUAAGCGUUGUUCGGAAUUACUGGGCGUAAAGGGCUCGUAGGCGGCCAACUAAGUCAGACGUGAAAUCCCUCAGCUUAACUGGGGAACUGCGUCUGAUACUGGAUGGCUUGGAUUCGGGAGAGGAAUGCGGAAUUCCAGGUGUAGCGGUGAAAUGCGUAGAUAUCUGGAGGAAUACCGGUGGCGAAGGCGGCAUCCUGGACCGACAUUGACGCUGAGGAGCGAAAGCCAGGGGAGCAAACGGG